AUGAUCUUCUUGUUCCCUCUUGUUGUGCUGAUCCGGUGCAUUGAACUUUUACGCGCAAAAUAUGACAAGAAGAGCAAAAUGGAGGAGCCAGGCGACAUGGAAACGGAACAAAAUAAAUUUUUAGGCUAGAUGAAGCAGUUAUUGGUUUUGAAUUUGUAACUCGAUAUUGCCUCCAUAUUAUUAUUCCUUAUGCCAUUCUAUGCCUUUUGGAUGGACAUGGAUGUUCGUGCGGUGCAUGCUUGGAGAUUAACUAUCUGACUUGGCAAAACUAGCUACUUACAUCUUGCAGCGAUUUCAGGUGGAGAGUCCGGGGACAAUUCUUGCCUGUCGAGGCGAUUCCUAGGCUCAAGUCGGAAACUUGGCUGGGGUAGUGGUAUGCAAACCUUUUGAUCGGCAUCAGGCAAUACGCAGGU